GAAGGGCUUUAUUUACUAAGUUAUGGGUCAGUCGGGUUGGAAAGAAAUGUUAGGAUCAUUAAGGAUCAUUCUUGCCUCUCUUUCCCUUUAGGAUAAGAUGACCUUUUGGCACUUCUCUUUGUCAAGGCACACACGCACUUUAAGGAUUUUUUCUUUUCCUAUUUUGCACAGAGAUUGGUGGACCAUUCUUUAUUGAGUAUUGCCUGUUUAUCUCUUUUAUUUUC
rnacentral:lncRNA from 1 species